GAUGAACGCUAGCUACAGGCUUAACACAUGCAAGUCGAGGGGCAGCAUAUUUAUAGCAAUAUAAAUGAUGGCGACCGGCGCACGGGUGAGUAACACGUAUCCAACCUCCCUUUUACUCGGGGAUAGCCUUUCGAAAGAAAGAUUAAUACCCGAUAGUAUAUGGUUUUCUCAUGAAGACUUUAUUAAAGAAUUUCGGUAAAAGAUGGGGAUGCGUUCCAUUAGGCAGUUGGCGGGGUAACGGCCCACCAAACCUACGAUGGAUAGGGGUUCUGAGAGGAAGGUCCCCCACAUUGGAACUGAGACACGGUCCAAACUCCUACGGGAGGCAGCAGUGAGGAAUAUUGGUCAAUGGGCGAGAGCCUGAACCAGCCAAGUAGCGUGAAGGAUGACUGCCCUAUGGGUUGUAAACUUCUUUUAUAAGGGAAUAAAGUGGAGUAUGUAUACUCCUUUGUAUGUACCUUACGAAUAAGGAUCGGCUAACUCCGUGCCAGCAGCCGCGGUAAUACGGAGGAUCCGAGCGUUAUCCGGAUUUAUUGGGUUUAAAGGGAGCGUAGGCGGAUGUUUAAGUCAGUUGUGAAAGUUUAAGGCUCAACCUUGAAAUUGCAGUUGAUACUGGAUAUCUUGAGUACAUUGAAUGUGGGCGGAAUUCGUGGUGUAGCGGUGAAAUGCUUAGAUAUCACGAAGAACUCCAAUUGCGAAGGCAGCUCACAGUAAUGUAACUGACGCUGAUGCUCGAAAGUGUGGGUAUCAAACAGGAUUAGAUACCCUGGUAGUCCACACAGUAAACGAUGAAUACUCGCUGUUUGCGAUAUACAGUAAGCGGCCAAGCGAAAGCGUUAAGUAUUCCACCUGGGGAGUACGCCGGCAACGGUGA
rnacentral:rRNA from 1 species